GAUGAAGAACGUAGCAAAAUGCGAUAAGUAAUGUGAAUUGCAGAAUUCAGUGAAUCAUCGAAUCUUUGAACGCACAUUGCGCCCGCCAGUAUUCUGGCGGGCAUGCCUGUUCGAGCGUCAUUUCAACCCUCAAGCCCCCGGGUUUGGUGUUGGGGAUCGGGCUGUACUCCAGCCCGGCCCCGAAAUCUAGUGGCGGUCUCGCUGCAGCCUCCAUUGCGUAGUAGCUAACACCUCGCAACUGGAACGCGGCGCGGCCAAGCCGUUAAACCCCCAACUUCUGAAUGUUGACCUCGGAUCAGGUAGGAAUACCCGCUGAACUUAAGCAUAUCAUAAGCGGAGGA
rnacentral:misc_RNA from 1 species